UACGAAGGGGGCAAGCGUUGCUCGGAAUUACUGGGCGUAAAGCGUGCGUAGGUGGUUUGUUAAGUCUGUUGUGAAAGCCCCGGGCUCAACCUGGGAAUGGCAAUGGAUACUGGCAAGCUAGAGUGCGGUAGAGGGUAGUGGAAUUCCCGGUGUAGCGGUGAAAUGCGUAGAGAUCGGGAGGAACACCAGUGGCGAAGGCGGCUACCUGGACCAGCACUGACACUGAGGCACGAAAGCGUGGGGAGCAAACAGG
rnacentral:rRNA from 1 species